GGGGAUGUGGUGAAACAGGUAGACACAAGGGACUUAAAAUCCCUCGCUGAAAGGCGUACCGGUUCGACUCCGGUCUUCCCUACCA
rnacentral:tRNA from 1 species